CUCGUGAUAAAAUUGAGCCUGUAGCGACACCCAAUAGGCCAGCCAUGCAUGUUAUGAUUCCGAAGAUUAGAUUGAUUCUGAAAAUUAAAUAAUUUGGAGCAAAUCAGCAAAUUGCCGGAAUUCAAAAUUUCCAGCAAAUUGGCAAAUUGUGGUUUUGUACAUUUUUUUGGGAAUUUCAGAAUUUCAAUUUUAAUCGGCAAAAUUGUAUGAAUGUUCCUACAUCUAUUUUGAAAACUUAGCGAAUUCUAUGAAAAUAUCUAAAGAAAA
ensembl:antisense_RNA Y111B2A.30 ncRNA